CGGACAACGCUGGCGGCACGCCUAACACAUGCAAGUCGAACGGACUUAAAGAGCUUGCUCUUUAAGUUAGUGGCGGACGGGUGAGUAACACGUGAGCAACCUGCCUUUAAGAGGGGGAUAACAUCCGGAAACGGAUGCUAAUACCGCAUAACAUAUGCUUUUCGCAUGGAGAGCAUAUCAAAGAUUUAUCGCUUAAAGAUGGGCUCGCGUCUGAUUAGCUAGUUGGUGAGGUAACGGCCCACCAAGGCAACGAUCAGUAGCCGGACUGAGAGGUUGAACGGCCACAUUGGGACUGAGACACGGCCCAGACUCCUACGGGAGGCAGCAGUGGGGGAUAUUGCACAAUGGAGGAAACUCUGAUGCAGCGAUGCCGCGUGAGGGAAGAAGGUCUUCGGAUUGUAAACCUCUGUCUUCAGGGACGAUAAUGACGGUACCUGAGGAGGAAGCUCCGGCUAACUACGUG
rnacentral:rRNA from 1 species